AGUCUGCUUUCAGCACUGGAGGAAGGGUGUUGGAUCCUCAUCGUAGUAAUCUUACACCUACGAUAGUGGAAGUGCUUGUUUGCACUCAAGAUUGGCUUAAAGGAUCUCCUUUCUCAAAUCUAUUUGACGAGGACCUUGAAGAACUUGAAACCUUUGAGAAAGGUAUGUCACAAUAUUUUUAGUUCUACAAACUUUGUAUUGUAUUUUAAAUUUUUUGAAACAUAAUGAAAUGCUCUUUUUUGCAGAGAUCAUUUCUCCAACGCUCUACGCAACAGCAUCUGCUAGUGUCAUUAGUCUUGACGAUUAAAGACAUUUGUUUCUAUUUUGUUUAGCUCAAAGAAAGCUCAAAGAAUUAGGUGAGUGAAACCAAGUGUUUCAGUAUUUAUAUGGUUAUUGAACUCUACAUGUUAUUUUUUGAAAUUACUAACUGGUGUCAUUUUUUUAUUUUUAAUAACUGUUUGCCAUUAUUUUAGCUGCACUUGUUCGCUUUUCUAUAGCGGGAAACUUCCUCGUGGGACUCUUGAAGUUGUUUUGAUCAGCGCCAAAGGCCUUGAAGACAAUGAUUUUCUCUCUAGCAUAGAUCCUUAUGUGAUUCUCUCUUACCGGGCACAUGAGCACAAGAGUACUGUGCAAGAAGGUGCUUUUCUGACAAACUUAACUUGUAAUUUGCUUAGUUGACAUUUUGGAUCUGUUUCUAUAGAUGCACUUUAGAUAUUAUUUAUAUGUUAUAUAUGCUUCAAACUUCACAGGUUGGGUAUGAUAAAUUGGGUUUGUCUAUUGGUCUUCAAUUCAUUGGAAGGCCUUGGUCUGAAGCAACACUAAUCCACUUAGCAUUUGCAAUGCAGGCUAUCUGCAUGUCAGAUUACAGAAAGCCAGAGCAUUACUAUGAUCUGCUAAGAAGAUAAAAAGGAAGAAUAGUAGCAGUAGCACAUUUUUUCGAGCUAAAGGAAAGCCUUCAUUGUAGUGUGUUUGAGCUAGUGGGAUUUUUUCUUUCUUUUUUCCUUUUGGUGGAUUGGAUUUCAUCCAUUAUUAGUACAAAACUUGAUGUCUUUGAUAAUGGUUUCAAUUUUUGGAUUUUUUAUUCAAUUCCAUCAGCGUUUAAAUUAGAUUUUGGUAUUCAAUAUCACUUGUGAAUGCAUGCCUUUUUUUUCCAAAUUCUUCUGGGCAAAAAGUGAAAAUGUGUAAAAAAUUUCAAUUUUGAGAACCGGUUCGGUUUGGAAUAUUAAACCGGUUCACUGGUUUCAAGAACCGGUUCGGUUCGGUUUUAUAAACUGUAAACCGGUUCGGUUCAGUUUUUUCUGAACUGAAAACCAGUUCGGUUCGGUUCGGUUCGGUUCGGUUCGGUUUUCAAGCAUAACUGAAUUUUGCCCACCCCUACGCUUAAGAAAUAUUAUAGUUUUUAAAACAAUUUUUUUACUAUUCACCUA